rnacentral:lncRNA from 1 species
AGACCUUUUUUCUUGGGUCACAUUUUUUCUGCUUAAAACACAUUCUUCAGCAUUUUCUUUAGUGAGAGUUGUUUUGUGACAAAUUCUCUUAGUUACUGCUAAUGUAAAAGUGUCAUUCUCCCUUUAUUCUUGAAAAAUAUUUCCAAAUAGUUACUUUCUGUUAGUUUGUGGUCAGCAGAAUAAUGCUGCCACCCCAAAGUUGUCCACACCCUCAUGCCUGGAACCUAUCAAUAGGUUACAUUACACGGCAAAAGAAAACUUGCAGAUGUAAUUAAGGCUACUAGUAGAUGUAAUUAAGCCUACUGACCUUUGAAAAAGAGUACCUUGGAGUAUCCAGGUGGGUCCAAUCUAACUAAAGGGGCCUUUCAAAGCAGAGAACUUCCUGUGCCUUCAGUCAGACAUACGCAGCAGUAGCCGCAGCAGAAUAGAGAUACAGCAAAAGGGAAGAUCAAAAGAUUCCAAGCAUGAGAAGAAUUUGAGGUUCUAUUGCUGGCUCUAGAUAGAGGACCAGAGAGAGGCCUCCAGGAUCUGAUGGCUAUCCCCCGCUGACAGCCAGCAAAGAAACAGGAACUUCAGUCUUACAGCUGCAAGGAAUAAUUAAGGCUACUGGUAGAUGUAAUUAAGGCUACUGACCUUUGAAAAAGAGUACCUUGGAGUAUCCAGGUGGGUCCAAUCUAACUAAAGGGGCCUUUCAAAGCAGAGAACUUCCUGUGCCUUCAGUCAGAGAUACGCAGCAGCCGCCGCAGCAGAAUAGAGAUACAGCAAAAGGGAAGAUCAAGAUUCCAAGCAUGAGAAGAAUUUGAGGUUCUAUUGCUGGCUCUAGAUAGAGGACCAGAGAGAGGCCUCCAGGAUCUGAUGGCUAUCCCCCGCUGACAGCCAGCAAAGAAACAGGAACUUCAGUCUUACUGCUGCAAGGAAUAAUUAAGGCUACUGGUAGAUGUAAUUAAGGCUACUGACCUUUGAAAAAGAGUACCUUGGAGUAUCCAGGUGGGUCCAAUCUAACUAAAGGGGCCUUUCAAAGCAGAGAACUUUCUGUGCCUUCAGUCAGAGAUACGCAGCAGUAGCCGCAGCAGAAUAGAGAUACAGCAAAAGGGAAGAUCAAAAGAUUCCAAGCAUGAGAAGAAUUUGAGGUUCUAUUGCUGGCUCUAGAUAGAGGACCAGAGAGAGGCCUCCAGGAUCUGAUGGCUAUCCCCCACUGACAGCCAGCAAAGAAACAGGAACUUCAGUCUUACAGCUGCAAGGAACUGGAUUAUGCCAACAACCAUAUGAGCUUGAAAGUGAAUUCUUCCCAAAGCCUUCCGAUAAGAGCCCAGCUGGCUGACAGCUUGAUUUCAGCUUUGUGAAACUCAGAGCAGACAAACCAGUUGAGCCCACCUGGACUUCCUACCUACAGAACUAGUAAGAAGGAGUCCACCAGCCGAGGCUGGACCAACUGCUGAAAGUCAGAGUCCUGGAGGCCUUCAGGGCAGACCCCAGCCAAUCUACGCAGAGCAGCCUGGGGAGAAGACAGAAGAGGUGACACGUGUCAGACUGGGCCAUGUCAGCCCAGCACCUCAGCUGUCAGGGCCUAUUGAUUCCAAGAAGCUGCCCCAGGAAAUGAGGGUGGGGCGUGAAGGAGCUGCAUGGAGACAGGCAGCAGUUUUCCAGCUCUUGCCCUUGGUGAUUUUCUUCUUGGACUUGAAAUUGAGCCGUCCUCCCCGCUCUCCCCUCAUCUUUAAUUUCUGUAUUGAUUUUCAUUAAACUACCCCCUUGGCUCCAGC